rnacentral:lncRNA from 1 species
CGCGCUCCGAGGGGGUGUCCGAGGCGGAGGAACUGGGCACAGGUGCCACUUUAGGCGGCGGAGCCGGACAGGCUGGGAGGGUUCUGGCUGCGAGCACCGCUGUCCAGGCUGUGCAGAGCCGGAGAUAGAAAAGGGACUGAAUUUGUCCGGUACAUCUGGAAGCCCAAUAAGUUGGUUUGGAAGCGGCCGCUCCCGGGGAGCCGGCAGAGGCAGGGCUGCGACCCCCCCCCCCCCCCCCCCCCCCCCCCCCCCCCCCCCCCCCCCCCCCCCCCCCCCCCCCCCCCCCCCCCCCCCCCCCCCCCCCCCCCCCCCCCCCCCCCCCCCCCCCCCCCCCCCCCCC